AAUUUGAGGUCGACAAUUUAAAAUCUACUAUUUUUUCAUGUGAACAUUUGAUACUCUUCAGGAUUUCAGCUUAAAGAUUAAGUUGACAAUUUUCCUGUAUCCGGACGGAAGUACAUUGUUGGUCAUUAACGUUCAUCAUAACCUUUUGGAUAAUAUGGCCAUAUGUACACCACGAAUUUUACUCUUUAAGUACAGUCAAACCUAUACACCUGC
rnacentral:lncRNA from 1 species